rnacentral:rRNA from 1 species
UGAUCUUGGCUNCCGGUUGAACGCUGGCGGCGUGCUUAACACAUGCAAGUCGAGCGGUAAGGCCCUUCGGGGUACACGAGCGGCGAACGGGUGAGUAACACGUGGGUGAUCUGCCCUGCACUUCGGGAUAAGCCUGGGAAACUGGGUCUAAUACCGGAUAUGACCUUCGGCUGCAUGGCUGAGGGUGGAAAGGUUUACUGGUGCAGGAUGAGCCCGCGGCCUAUCAGCUUGUUGGUGGGGUAAUGGCCUACCAAGGCGACGACGGGUAGCCGACCUGAGAGGGUGACCGGCCACACUGGGACUGAGACACGGCCCAGACUCCUACGGGAGGCAGCAGUGGGGAAUAUUGCACAAUGGGCGAAAGCCUGAUGCAGCGACGCCGCGUGAGGGAUGACGGCCUUCGGGUUGUAAACCUCUUUCAGCAGGGACGAAGCGAAAGUGACGGUACCUGCAGAAGAAGCACCGGCCAACUACGUGCCAGCAGCCGCGGUAAUACGA